rnacentral:lncRNA from 1 species
GGUAACUAAUUAGGUCUAAAUAUUUAUGCUCAGGUUCCAUUGGUUGUGGGUUCCCUGUUACCUUUUGGUUUGGAUUCCUGGUUAGAAAAGCAGCUGGAUUUAGAGAAUUGUCAGUGGUUAGUGUCAGGUCAUCUCUCUCUAGCAGGAUAGCUUCAUAUUUUAAAAUUCUUGAGUCAGCGAGCCACCUUUCUGCCUUUUGGUUGAGGAUAGUUCUGACUUCGUGAGGUGUGCUAACAAUGAGUUUUCCCCCAGAGGUUAAUUUUCUGCUUUCCUCCCUGAGCAAGGCUGUUGCUGCCAGUGGCCCCCAUGCUCUUGGGUGAGUACCCCUAAAGCCACUCCUUUGCUUAAUACUGACAAAAAGAUGGAAUGGCUGUUCUAGGGAGGGUAAAGCUAGAACAGGGUCAGUCACUAGUAAAUGUUUUAACUUUUCUACUUGUUUGAUUUCUGCUAGAGUUCAGAGAAGGGGGUCUGGCUCUUCUUGGGUGAGUCUUUCAUACAAAGGUUUUGUUUCUAAGGCAUAAGAGUCAAUUCAUUGGCAACAGUAUCCAACCAAUCUCAAAAAUUUUCUGAGCUCUUGUUUUGUUUCUGACACAGGUAGGGAUAUGAUACCUUCAAUCCAUUCAAAGCCAAUUCUCUGCCUUUUGCUUUUGCC